CCGUUCUCCUCCCGGGAGGCCCCGCCGGCCUCUCGGGCCCCACCGAGACCGUGCCUCCUCCUCUCCUUCUCCCGCUUCUCCUUAGGUCUGCGCGACUUGGCGUUAGCCGAGGCAGCGGCGGCGGCGGCGGGCAGGAGGAGAUGGUGAGGCUGAGCGUGCAGCAGCGUAGGAGGGACCAGCAGUUUGCGCGGCACCGGCUGAGACAAGGAAGCGGAGGCUGAGGAGGGAACGGCCGUGCCAGCGGAGAAAGAGAAACUGCUCCGAGAAGAGGACGGGGAGGGAGCAGCAGACAGAGGGGCAAAGCUCCAAGACGCGGGGCUGCCAUAGCUCUGAGGCGAAGGUGCUGCCGGCGGCUGCAGCUGCCUGCUGUUCCCGCCGCUGCCCCCUUCUCCGUUCACUCUCCGCGGUGCCUUCUUCUCCUCAGUCCGGACCUUCUUGGCGGACAGAGAACCCGGAGGGUCCCGGGAGGAGAGUUGCAGCUUGCCAAACGGUUCUUUCUCCGAGACGGUGGCGGUGGGGGCCGCGGCAGCGACACAGUGCACGGGGCUCGGCGGUUCCGCCAUUUUGCGCUCCUGUUGUAUUUACUCUCCUCCGCUAGCCGGCGCGGGGCAGGGGGCGGGCCCUCCGCGAGGGGUAGGGAAGGGGCGGAGCGGCCAGGCCACCAGCCGGCAUUGCUCCAUUGGGCAAGCCACGCUGAGGGAUCCACCUAAGAGCCAAUCAAAGGCACAAACAUCAGACGAAGGGGCGGGAUCGCCACAGGGACCCUCUUCGGAGGUCAGAGCUCGGCGGGGUGCGGCUAGUGGCGGAGCGCGCUGCGAGGGGAGGGCUUUCCACUGUCGCUGGCGUGAACUCGCGUGCCCGGCUUCACCAGGUACUGCCUUCUAACGAGCUGGCCAUUUCCACAUGUCAGAUAGGACCAACUUGCCUUUUAACUACCCGUGUGAUACUUAAACACUGUUGCCGGUAUCACAGCUUUUCUUCAAAACAGGAAGCAACGAGAAUGAGGGCAUUCCAGUAGCAGGAGACAGCAUGCAUAGAGAUGCUGAUGAAGAAAGAGCCUAGCGCACGUGGGAAACUGCAAAAGUUCAGACUGGUUGGAAUGCUGGAAAUGUUGUGAAUGACAGGAGAUGAGGCUGGCGAGAAAACAGAGGUCAGAUUGUGGAAGGCUGUCAAGCCAAAGACUUUGAUUUUAUUCUUGAGAUUGAUGAGAUGUGUGUAAUCCAGGAGUGUGCAAAACAAUCUGUAAGGGUUCAGAAAACAUACUGCUUCUAUAUAUAGUUACCUUUGUCUUAACUUGAAAAUUUCAAAUUGUGUAGGAGUUACAAUGUGUGUAAUUGUUAUUAUAGUACUGGAUCCAAAUAAUUUAUAAAUAAAUAAAUAUAGAC
rnacentral:lncRNA from 1 species